AAAAAUCUCUGAUGUGGAGGUGUUUGAUAAAAAAAAUUCAAUGAAUUGGAUUUUCUAUUUGAUUUCUUAUGCAUUUGUAGUCUUUUCCAUCCUUCGAAGGUAAGGGAGAAAAUAGAAAAUUGCCAGCGAAUGUUUGACACUAUUAUCUACACCUCUAUCAUGUUUUCUAUUUUCACCACAGAGCAUGAGAGUUGUAACUAUUUGUAUUUCAUGUCUUUCAUUUCUUCUUCACGAAUGAAAGAAACUAAAUUUUGACGAAUUAAUUAAAGUUGGACUAAAAUUUAAAUCCAGUGUAAAGAAUUUCAGAAAAUUCAAAUUUAUUCUUGAUUUUCUUUGUCCUCCAUGGAGAAGCUCCUUGCAGUUUAACUAUAAAUUGAGCAUGAUUUGCUGAAUUUCAUGACUUUCAGAUACAAUCACUACUUCACUAGGUGAUGAAGCAGUCUAUUGUUUGAUUAUAGAUAUCAUCUGCUGAAACUAAGAAUCUCAUUAGCCAUGUAAGUUGAUUAGAAGAUAUUCAUAAGUUAUGUGAAGAUUUAUGCUGAUGAUGUAGCUAUAUUUGUUUGUCCUGUAUCUUAUGACGGACAUUUCAAAGAGAUUUUUCCUUCAGGAGAUCUUGGACCACCCUUGAAUAAUUAAGACAGCUAAUCCGAAUGGAGCUUGCUAAAAGUGAUAUUUUCGCAUACUGCUCUCACCUCGAGUCUUUCAUCCCGUUUGCACCAGUUGAAUAACGUCCAGCAUCACAAAAUUUGACAGAAGAUUCGUAGUAGACGUGAAAUUCUUGAGAGUCUAUACCUCUUGUGCAGGCAGAUGACAAAAAUAUUAAGGUUGCAGGAAACGAAGUCAACAACGAGAUCUUUUGAGAAUUAAUAGGCUGGAUCUAAGGGGAAUCUGCUGGAAGGCAUUUGUUAUUGAAACACAAAAUUAAGUGAAUUUUCCUGAAGCUAUAGAAUUUGGUAAGUGACUUCUACUGUAAAUCAGACAUAUAGCUGUUUAUAUGCCUAAAGCAAUUGAUUUCAAAGUAUAUAUCUGUUUAGCUUUUAAUAUGCCUGAAUGUUUUUAUAUUCAUUAAGUAUCAAGUUUAACAUUUGUAAGGGCAACUAAUCUGUCAUAUCUGCUUGACGAAAUUGAUAUUCACAUUUACAAGGUUAAAGAGGAAACUUUUAGUAGGAGAGAUAUGACCGGCCUUGAAAAGGCAGCGGAGUGGUUGGAUGUAUGUCGCCGAUGAGUACCGGCUGGAGGAGUACAAGUGGUUGGAAAUUAUGUUGUGUUUUUAGCCGCUUAUGCAUAUUUCUGCACCAUUCUUCUUUUUCAAUAGUUCCCGCAUAGAAAAAGAAGUCCUUGACGUAACAGUUAUAGCCUCAAGUCUAUAUAGAAGGAAUAUUCAAACACAAAAAAUAACAGUCAACGACAUAUGGAUAAUUAAACCAAUACCAGCUCAUGAUACAAGUACAAACUUUCAAAAGUCAACGACAUAAAUCUUUAUAUCCUCCUUCAAUAAAAGUUAUAACAGCGUGAUAAAAAUUAAGUAAGUUAACAAAAAGAUAAAAACUUAAUAUAUGCUACUUAAGUAAAGAAUAUGAUGCUUAUCAGAGUUUUAGAGUGAAUUCAGGCAACUUAAAUAUUGAAAUGACGGAGGUAAAUCUACAAGUUCAGAUCUGGAGCGCCGCCAAAGGAACAUAUUGCUUGGACGGAGGGAGAGCACAGGCAUACCCAAUGAGAUGUUGUCCAGAUUUUUCAGUGAUGGAUUCUCAUCUUGUAGUUCCAAUGAAAUUUGCAAGCUGAAUCCAUGAGUGAAACAAAGAAAAAAAAAAGAUUGGACGUAAAUAGCAAAGAGAAGACGGAUGUAUAAGGUGUUGCAAGCAUCAGAGAAGAUGAAAUCUAAAAUACUUUAAGAGAAAGGUCGAAAAGAAAAGCAAAAGGAGUGUAUUGGUCCUUGGUAUGAUUGUGAGUAUUGGUUUUGGAACAUAUGCUUUGCUGUUUUGCAUUGCUGUAAGCAAUAGACAGCUGGAAAAAAUUGGUGAUUUCAGUGCUCAUAGGUUUUUGACAGAACAAAUCAAAUGAUGCAGUUUAUGAUAAAACACCACAAUAAGUCUUUUAUAUUAUUCCCAACUUAUCUCUUUUGUGAA